CGACCAUCAAUGUUUUGAUCGCAGUUUAUAAGGAAAUAAAUAAUGAAAGAGGAGAACGGGCCUGGAGAAACACCUCUUCCCUCUUCUUCUUCCUCCUAAACACUACAGCCCGAUCCCUUCGCCGUUAGGUUACCAAAAGGCUGACAUUUCAUGGAUGUAAAUGCAGAGCGACUGACUGAUUUACAGUUUACAGAGCUCUCUCCACCCUCAAUACCACGACUGAGGCACCGAACCCCCAACUGCUCCCAGGACACCGCAGCAUAAAUGAUGCCCACCCGGAUCCAGUACGUAUCCAGACCAGAUGGUGGAUCAGCACCUAGAAAGGACCUCUACUGCCCUGAAAGACAGCGGAGACCAGGACAACUAGAGCCCAGAUACAGAUCCCCUGUAAAGACCUUGUCUCAGAGGAGCACCAGGACAAGACCACAGGAAACAGAUGAUUCUUCUGCACAAUCUGACUUUGCUGCAGCCUGGAAUUGAACUACUGGUUUCGUCUGGUCAGAGGAGAACUGACCCCAACUGAGUCUGGUUUCUCCCAAGGUUUUUUUCUCCAUUCUGUCACCGAUGGAGUUUCGGUUUCUCUGGUUUGCUUAGUCAGGGCACUUAAUAUCCUGUGAUAUCGUUGAGUUGAUUGCACAGAUACUGUUUCACGAGUUCACACUUACAUAUAAUUAACUGAAGUAUUAUAAUGCGUAUUUGGCGUGCUGUCCGGGGAAGGGGCUCCGAGCUCGGGAAUGGCCCGAACCUAUAGUACCCCCCCCCCGUAUAUGAAAGUGUAACAUGAACUCUAGUGGAGGAGAUGGGGUGGAGGGGGGAUGCUGAUAAACCAUCAAUGGAGACAGGUAGGCUGAUUCAGCUGUAUUUAUACCCUAAGGUUGAUUAUCUUGAGUGGUUCCACCUGUGCUAAUUAGGUUAAGUAUCUGACGUGCUUCUCCCGAACCUUGUUAUGAAACUACAUUUAAACUGAACUGAGAUGGAUGCUGACAUCACUGAAUUCAAUUCAUCACUUUUUUGCAUCCCUGACACACUAUUUUCCUAUUUAAUGCUGUUAAGUUGUUUUGUCACAAUCUGUGUUGUUAAAAGCACUUCAUAAAUAUGAAUUGAUGACAGCUAUAACACACCCUCAACACUGCUCUUUUACCUCUGAAAUAUCAUAAACACUUUAAACACAUUACAGUCAGCAAUUCACUUUUGCCCAAUACCCAGAUAACACUUUCCACUGCUUUCAUCGCAUGUCGGUUUACGUUUCAAAUGUCCUAACCAGAGAAUGACCUGGUGAUUUGUAAAUGUGUCUUUCUUGCAUCGUCAGUUUCUGCUUUUUUUGGUUCAUAUAAACACUUCAGGAUUAGUUAUUGCCUGAUUCUCAACAAACUGUUGGUCCAAGUGCAUGUGUGCAUGUGCAGAGUAAAGAGAGCACACAAUUCUGUGAAUAAUUAGACUUUCAGUAGGCUAAAUAAAAAUAAAUAUAAUAAAAUAAGUCAUAAUUGCUUAUUUUAGAUCAAACUAGAUCACAUAGAGAUUGAACUGCUCGGGUUUACAAAAGCAACAAAAAGAAUGUAAAGAGCAAAUCAGUUACGGUCUUUAGGAUUGUAAAGAUGCAGAACAGCCACCAAAGAAACAUCAUAAUCAAGAGAAUAUUUUCACUCAAAUCCCAUAUUAAGGUUCGAUCAUGUCUGAAUGUUGGAGCUUUAGUGAUCCUCAUCCAACCCUUGACAGACCACGCUCUUAAAGCGGUGCAAGAAUAAUGAUUUUAAAUGUUUAAAAGAGACAUUAACUGGCCAUUACUGGUCACCCGAUUCCUUAAUGAGUAAAAACAAAUGAAUGUUAAGCCAAAAAAGUGUUAGUUAACAAUGUGUUACUUUGAAUUUCUUUGACAGACUGCAGUUUAACAAUCACCCUUUACAGUGAAUUACUGCUUUAGUUGUUGCCAUUUGAGAAUUUUCAAUAAUAAUUGUCUUAUUUAACAUGACAUCCAUCAGUACCAGUGUACAGCAGGACAGUCUCUCUGACUUCAGAUCAGUGGUGUCCAGGGAUGGAUCUGCUGGUCACAGUGUUGUUCUCCUGCAGGGGGCAGAAGCGUCCACUUCAUCAGCACCUUCUGAUCACAUCCUACACUUUUACACAAGCCGUUCUUUUCAUCAUUCUUCACAGGAUCCUCUGGAGCUAAUAACUAACUGCUCACAGACUUCUUAGGUUCAGAGUUUAUUUCAGUCAUUUCAUAGAAACAGCAACUUUGAUUUAAUGAUUCAAACAUAGUGCAUCAAAAUGUAUUUUCUGUUAACUUUAUUUUAAGGUGUCAUUGUUUGGGGUAUACUCAAAGAAUGUUAUAUACUAGUUACUCCUUUCAAAAGCAAUAUUGUUACUUAUUACUUUCUGGUAACAGUAACUAGUUACACUACUAGUUACAUUACCUUGUCUUCACACCCCACAUUUACAUUUACAUUUAAUCAUUUAGCAGACACUUUUAUCCAAAGCGACUCACAAAUGAGAACAACAGAAGCAGUCAGGUCAACAAGAGAACAACAACAGUAUAGAAGGUUUUUUUUUUUUUUUUUUUAUAAAUGAAGACAAGAAAAGAAGGAAAAGUGCUAGUAUUAGUUGGGUAAGUGCUGUCGAAAAAGAUGAGUCUUUAGAUGUUUCUUGAAAAUGAGUAAAGACUCCGCUGUAUGAACUGAGAUUGGGAGGUCAUUCCUCCAGCUGGACACAGUCCAGGAGAAGUUGUAACUGUGUAUCUUCCACAUAAAAUUCACCCAGAAUGCUACUAACAACAUAUUUCUGCCUCAUCAUUUGACCAAAAUCCACACUGGAUCAGUCAGGAGUGAUGACAAACACUCAAAAGUGACUGAAAGUGACAUUUAAGUAGAAGUGUUGUAUAAAUCUCACUAACUGUAAUGUGUAGCUUGAAGCUAAUUGUAAUUUCUCUGAUACCCAUAUACAAUUAUAUUUCAUUUUAUAUUUUAUCAGAUCACACAAGUUUGUAAGAAACUGUUUAAUUUUCCCCAAAAGAUUUUUAAUUAUAAUAAUAUAAUGUGGACUGUGGGUGGGAUGUGAAGCCAGAGUAAAGUAAAGCCCCAACUUACACAACAGUUUUCUCAUUUCCAUUUCCUGUCAAGAGCACUAUAAUGCAAUAUUUAUAUCUGCUGUAUGUAAGCUUUCCAUAUUCCACGCUUGUCUGCUGCACUGGGGACAUCACAUGCCUGUGCGAAAAUUAUGAAAAUAAACCUAGAAAUUAUUUGA